rnacentral:rRNA from 1 species
UACAGAGGUCUCAAGCGUUGUUCGGAUUCAUUGGGCGUAAAGGGUGCGUAGGCGGCGCGGUAAGUCGGGUGUGAAAUUCGCGGGCUUAACUCGAAACUGCAUUCGAUACUGCCGUGCUUGAGGACUGGAGAGGAGACUGGAAUUUACGGUGUAGCGGUGAAAUGCGUAGAUAUCGUAAGGAAGACCAGUGGCGAAGGCGGGUCUCUGGACAGUUCCUGACACUGAGACACGAAGGCCAGGGGAGCAAACGGG